rnacentral:lncRNA from 1 species
CGAAUUCCAGAGGCUGUUCCCUACCUCACUUCCUGUGUCUCACAAAAUCCAAUGGUUGGCUCUAGCUUGGCUUAGGACAGCCCAGGUGGGCAGUUAGUUAUUUCUGAUUUGUCAUUGACUAGCACAUGCCCGUGUAGUGUGGGUGUGCACAAUUUUUUUGGUGCUAGACCAAGAUGGAGACUUUUUAAAAUAAACACCUGGGAUAGAAGUUUCUGGUCUAGUUGGUAACGUCCAGUUGUUCUUAUUUGGCUCACUUGCCUUUCAUUUUAUCUCUUAAAAGUUUUCAUUUUGCUGAGUGCGUAUGAGAUACCUUUACCUCUGAUGGAAGAAACUUAAUGAAUAAAUGAUCAUAAAGCCAUUUCUUGGUCCUACCAAACAGGAAAAUGGCUACUGAUGCAUUUGAAAUUUAAGUAUUUUUUUUUCUGGACAUAACAAACAUGAAAUAAAACGGGCAUUUCCUUAUGUAGAGACAAAUAAAGAAGACACUGAGGAUGUCUUCUUCUGUACAUCUUGUUCUUCCUUUUAAUUAGUACAUAACUACAUAUUUGUCCUAUAGCCUUUGAGGCUGUCUACUAAUCUGAUGCAAUUUUAUUUGUUUCAGAUUACCUGAGUUGGGAGCCGAGGUAUGAAGCCAAGGAUUCAGUUUUGACUGAGGGCAUUUGCCCAGAAACAUUGACCCAAGAAAGAUUGCCAGUGGAUAGUAACUGGUAUUCCAAGAAUUCCAUUUUGCUGCUGCUCUGCUGACUGCCUCUCGCCCACUCAGUGCCUGCCGGGGCCUCCGUUAUCUAUAGUUAGCACUGUGCCAAACACAUCGCAUUUCCUGCGGAGAGAAAGACCCUCCCUGCAUCUCCAGACAAAGGAUCACAAGGGCUGCAUCCGGUUACUGUAGAAAGGAAGAAUCUGCAGUUAAGUUUCUCCAUUAUCCAAGGAAAGCAGAGAGUUUUUUCUAGUUUCCAAGUCCCAGAACCAUUUGCCAGUAGGUGAAUGGGCAGAAGACAUGAACAAGCAGGCUUUAAAGGAAGAAAUCCAAGCGA